rnacentral:sRNA from 2 species
ACAGGGUGUGCCAACAUGCUAUCACAGGUUCGAAUCAGACCAAGGCCAGAGGAAUAUCCCUUACUAAUGCACAUUCUCUUGCCAAGAUGGGGGAGAUUGGUGGUUAGGCACCCAGGAAGACCCCAGGCCACCAAGGACCAAUGGCAGUAGGGUAGUGGAACUUAGGAAGAGCCAGGUUCCCCCAGCUGGCCGGAUGGUAGAGUGGGUCCGAGGGGGGGUGUUGGGGGGAUUGGGUUGGGUGAUUCGUACCCUCUAUACCACCAUGGCGCUGGUGGUGAUUGAGCUCUUUUGCCCUAGUGGCCUAAUAGAAACAACAAGAGAAUUACAAAGCACAUACAAAGUGUGCCCAGCCG